UCGGGAGAAAAUUCUCCAAAGAG
rnacentral:snRNA from 1 species